rnacentral:sRNA from 1 species
UAACAACUGAAAGGAGGUGAUCCAGUGUCUCAUUGUCAUCAACCGCUGGUGCAAGGCGGGCGGACCUGGACUCAUUCCCUGUGGGGGUCUUGUUCCGCGUGAGUUUUCGCACCUUAAAGCCCGGUUCGCUGGGCUGCGGUCGACAAUGGAAGGGCUGUCCGCAAGGACGGCCCU